GGGUCUGUGGAGCGCCCAGAGGUCACUCAUAAUCCUUUGGUCGCAGGUUCGAUCCCUGCCGGGCCCA
rnacentral:tRNA from 1 species